rnacentral:lncRNA from 1 species
CUGGGGAGAGAUCACAAAGGACCUCUUAUGCCAUGACUGAGGACUUUGGAGUGUGUGCUCAGCUAAGCCAUUAGGUUUUAAAAAUGGGGGGGAUAAUAUGAUCAGCUUUAUGUAGUAGGUCUGUGACCCUCAAAUGUUAGCAGCAUCAACUUGGAGGAUUUGCUAGAGUUUCUGGUUCAGUAGCUCUGAGAUGGAAUCUGAAAAUUUGCAUUUUUAACAAGUUCAGGGAUUUCAACCUUGAGCCUAUAUAGAGACACAGAAAAUGGUGUUGACCAAAGCUGAGUCACCGUAACAGCCUCUCACUAGAGAAAAAGUCUCCAAAUUCCUGUCACUGAGGUCUUCAGAGCACCCUCAUACCUGAUACAGUCUUGGUUAUGUGGUACAAUAAACAGA